GACUACGGAAGGCCGAAGGAUUGGGCGCAGCAUUGCUUGGGCUAAAGGCUGACUAGGGCUUCCAGGAAGUGAUGUAUGUGAGAAGUUUGCUUUUUAAAGUGUACGUGGGAUCGUUAUUACGUCGAAAUAGCUCGAGCUGUAACCUAGGGUAAAUAAUAAUUCCUUUUCGUAUUCAUCAAGGUGCUUCUAAGUGCCAGUGCCAGGGCUUGAGUGCAGUGGCACGAUCGAUCUUGGCUCACUGCAACCUCCACCUCCCGAGUUCAAGCGAUUCUCCUGCCUCACCCUCCUGAGUAGCUGGGACUACAGGCCUGCGCCACCACACCUGGCUAACUUCUGAAUAUCAAGCUGAAAUUACUAUCAGAUAUCUUGCCACCACAUAGAGGCUUUGAGUGAAGUCUGCAUGGAGGAGAACAGAGCUGAGAGAUGGAAAGAUACUGAAUCCCAGUGACGUCCUUUGAGAUGUCGGAUCAAGCUGAGCUGGGCGUGAAGAUAGAGCUACUCCUAUACUUUUAAGAUACGAUGAAGUACAGCUUGGCUGACCCAGUUCUUGGGAUGGGAGGAUUAAUGAACUCUCUAAACCAAACUUUUGGAGGAAAAGAACUUCAGAGGAGUUGUGUCUUGCUCUGUCACCCAGGCUGGAGUGCAAUGGUGCGAUCUUGGCUCACUGCAACCUCCGUCUCCCGGAUUCAAGCAAUUCCCCUGCCUCAGCCUCCCGAGUAGCUGGGAUUACAGGCGUGCGUCACUGGGCCCGGCCUACUAAUUGUAUCUUUCCCUUUGGGAAUUUUUGUUUUUGUUUUCGGUAUGGAUCAGAUGGGCUCAAUCCUGCCACCUCACCCCUCAUCCACAGGUAUGAGUUCAGUAUCCAGAUUCAUUCAACAAGAAUAGCAUGUCUCCUUGCUUAUUGGUUCAGUGAUGGAUUCAUAAUCCAAACAAGGCCAAUCAGAACCUUCCCUGUUAAUGUGUGUGAUACAGGGACAUUGGGAGAAAGUAUGACUCUGUUCUUCUCAAAUCAAUAGCUACCAUAAACUAGAACUGCUGACAGCCAUCUUCUAGGGCUGCAUGGAAGUGACUAUCUAAAGGAAGAUAAAAUUAAGCCAAAACACAGGAAAAAGAGAAGUGAGAGCCAGAGAGAUAAAAAUAAACCCUUGACCAAACCGUUGACAUUCUAUUUAUACUGGGCACUACAAUUCCUUUUUUUUUUCUUGUACUUAAGAUAUAAAUUGUUAUUCUGUCAUUUUCAAUACAAAGGGUCUUUACUAAUACACCUCAAAGCAGCAAGAAACUGCUGCAGAAGAAGAUAAAAGUAAGGCAGUAGAAGAUGAAAGUAAAACAAAAACCUUGAUGAUCAGUACAAUUAUUCCUAAUUAACUAUUCAUAUUCCAGAACAACUUUUAAUUUUAUUAACAUACAUCCUCAUAUACCUAUGAAAGAAUUCACCCACAAAUAUCCAAACUCUCAAAUAUCCAUUCUUUUCAUCAACAGUUCCAAGUUAUAAAAAAUGUAUUUAUAGGUAGUGACUCUGAUAUUAGAAGAAAAAGAAAACUUGGCUAUGCUCUUUAUCCUCUAAAUUUGGUAUUUCCUAUCCCAAAUUUACAAACAGAAUAAAUGGAUCUUUCCUCUUUCUUUCCAUUGAUUCCCAAAUAGCCCACUCCUUCAGAUGUGUAUCCUAUUCAAUAUCCUAAAAUUCUCAGCAGUCUUUGGAUUCAAAGUUCAAAACAGUGAAACUGAAAAUUCUCAAGAGGGGACAAUAAUGUGAUGGAAAGGAAGAAAUGUUACUGUUAUUCCUGCCAUGGAUACAAGUAGAGCCUCCUCUCUUACAUUCAUGUAAAAUGGUUUUUGUUUCUGUCUUCUCUAUUAUAGCCUGAGUUAUAUAUUAGUCAAGAACUAACAUAUUCAAAGUCUUGGUGACCAAUAUUAUUCUAGGAUUAGAGGAUCACCCACCUUCUAAAAGUCUUUCUUCUUGUCCAUUUUUUCUUUAGAAUACUUCCAAUUAAUGCUUAAUGUGUGUUCUCAGAGACUGUCUUCUCAGCUGCAAGAUGAUGGACACUGCUUACUUCCUCUCUUGCUUGCUACUUACCUCCCACCCCAAUGACAUGUGGCAAUAGCAGGUCCUUUUCAUUAUCUACUGACUCCAAUCUUUUCUUUUUCCCUUGUUAACAAAAUUCUGACCUUGUUCAGAAUGGCAAUGUUCUCACAUUCACAGGGAUGAGCAGUUGAUUGGUCAUUGCCAGUUAUGGCAGACUUGUUUCCAGCUGUCUUAGCUCUUCAAUACCCAAAUGUGGUCAUGUGACCCAAGUGUCAGUUGACUCUGAAGUGGUUCUGGGAAGGCUUCUGAUGCUGAUGGAAAGAGAUACACUCUGUUAUGAGCCCUCCCAUUUCUUUCUUCUUCCUAGCUUCGACAUGAAUUUGGAAUAUAAACAGCAGCUGCCAUAGUGCUAUAUGAGCUAUGGACAUGAGCAUGAAAGCCAAAAUGCUAAAAAUUGCAGAACACAAAGGUGGAAAAUCUGGGUCUGUGAUGUUGUUGAGUAGUUAACUAGUGUAGAAGCUAGCUGGCUCCAUAUUUCUUGGCAUGUAACGAAAAUACACUAUUUUUCAUUUAAGGUGCUGUUAUCAAGUCUCUCAUUUGUAGCCACACACCCAGUAAUAAUGUCCACAUAUGCUAUUUAGGACUUCUCUGCCUAGAAAACCGAGAGGAUGCCUCACUACCUCAUGUUGGAUGUCGCCCUCUCUGCAGGUCACUGAUACCAGCUGGGCUUGGCUUCUGUGUCCCCUGGGCACCAUUUUCUCCUCUGAGCCUACCUGUUACCACCACUAGACAUCAAUUAUUUAUAUGACAGCCUGGAUGGUACUCUUUAUUUUUCAUGUUGGUUAAAGCAGAGAGCACACACAGCAAUAAAGACCGGUCCCCAGAGUGAAUAUUCUCAAGGUGCAAGAUGAAUUUGGACUGGAAUCAGAGAACAAAAGUGAGUCAGGUUUGCACAGCAGUGAUUCCCAUAAAAAUGGAGAUCCAGUUGACAGAAAUAGUUCAGGCCUAAACUGAGACGUACUAAUACAUUGUUCCCCUUCAAACCAAAAAUAUUUAUCUAUUCAACAGUAGAGAUAAAGGGAGAAACUUAUUUCCUGUUAAUAACAUCAUACACUAAAAGAGGUAACAUGCUAAAUGCACUUCUACCAACUUAGGCAGAUUCAGUCUUCUGAAGAUGAAAAAUAAGAAAAAUAUUUCUGUCUUCUAUUUUUGUCAUCGUUGUUGUUGUUGGUUUUGGUUUUUGUCAAUUUUCUGAACCAGAAAACUUUCUGUGAACUCCACUAAAAGGUUGAACAGUUGGAUAAUAAACUAUGUAUUCACUU